rnacentral:misc_RNA from 1 species
AUGAGAACUUGCCCUUCGGGGUAGAUCUCCCACCCUUUGUGAACCAUACCUCUGUUGCUUUGGCAGGCCCGUCCUCGGACCGCCAGCUUCGGCCGGCCCGUGCCUGCCAAGGAUUUAAACGCUUCUGUUGGUGUUGUCUGAGUAUAAAAUCAAAUCGUUA